GAUGAACGCUAGCUACAGGCUUAACACAUGCAAGUCGCGGGGCAGCAUGGGGGUUGCUUGCAAUCCCCGAUGGCGACCGGCGCACGGGUGAGUAACGCGUAUCCAACCUGCCCUUCACCACGGGAUAACCCGGCGAAAGUCGGACUAAUACCGUAUGUUGUCCAUUGACGGCCUCCGAUUUGGACGAAAGGUUUGGCGGUGAAGGAUGGGGAUGCGUCCGAUUAGCUGGACGGCGGGGUGACGGCCCACCGUGGCGACGAUCGGUAGGGGUUCUGAGAGGAAGGUCCCCCACACUGGAACUGAGACACGGUCCAGACUCCUACGGGAGGCAGCAGUGAGGAAUAUUGGUCAAUGGGCGUAAGCCUGAACCAGCCAAGUAGCGUGCAGGAUGACGGCCCUAUGGGUGGUAAACUGCUUUUAUGCGGGGAUAAAGUGGCCCACGUGUGGGUUUUUGCAGGUACCGCAUGAAUAAGGACCGGCUAAUUCCGUG
rnacentral:rRNA from 1 species